rnacentral:snRNA from 1 species
AAAACUUUUUCGAAAGAAAAAAAUCUGUUCUUAUCAGUUUAAUAUCUGAUACGUCCUCCUCCGGGGACUACAUAUUAAAUGGAUUUUUAGAUCACGGAGCUGGAGCCGGGGCUUGCUCCGUCCACUCCAUGCAUCGGCCUGGUAUUGCAGUGUCUCCAGGAACGGUGUGCUUUCC